rnacentral:pre_miRNA from 1 species
UGAGAUCAUCACCAUAAGCACACACUUCAGAUGCGCUUAUUUUGGUUAUCUCGAC